UGGGGAAUUUUGGACAAUGGGGGAAACCCUGAUCCAGCCAUCCCGCGUGUGCGAUGAAGGCCUUCGGGUUGUAAAGCACUUUUGGCAGGGAAGAAACGCCAUGGGCUAAUACCCCGUGAAACUGACGGUACCUGCAGAAUAAGCCCCGGCUAAUUACGUGCCAGCAGCCGCGGUAAUACGUAGGGUGCAAGCGUAAAUCGGAAUUACUGGGCGUAAAGCGUGCGCAGGCGGUUCGGAAAGAAAGAUAUGAAAUCCCAGGGCUCAACUUUGGAACUGCAAUAUUAACUACCGGGAGAGAGUGUGGCAGGGAGAGGUGGAAUUCCGCGGGUAGCAGAGAAAUACGUAGAUAUGCGGAGGAACGCCGAUGGCGAAGGCAGCCUCCUAGGAUAACACUGACGCUCAUGCAAGAAAGCGUGGGGAGCAAGCAGG
rnacentral:rRNA from 1 species